rnacentral:lncRNA from 1 species
UUUGUUUGUUUGUUUCGAAUACUAAUGGACGAUAAAACCAUACGGAUGUGCCCCCUCCUAGUGAAGAGCAAGCAACUACCCACCGAUCCCCCCCCAAGCACGCCCAGACACUCCCGGGGACAACCGGAUAUGGCAGGAGUUGAGAUGCCCAAGAUGGAGCUGGGAGAGUUGAUCCACCAUACAGGAGGAGGAGGGUCGAGGAGGCUGGAGCUCUCAGCUCUUGCCGGCAGCGGACCACGCAGCUCUGCACCUCUCCUUUCCUCCUUGCGAGGCGCCAGGGCCCUCCCGGUCGUGGCACUUCAAAGGUAGGAGGAGAAAAUGCUGGGGACAAGAAUACACAGGCGGCCAGAAGGUUCCACUAGGGUCAGCAAGAGCCUGCUGGGACUCUAAAUCCAGGUUUCCUCCCUGCGUGGUGCCGUCGGUGGUGCAAGGGAUGCGAAGACUGAAUUUCUGAGAAGUCGAAGCUGCAGGAGAAAACAAACAAAAACAACAAAAUGGGAAGCCUGCGACGCUCUCUCGCGCGGCGUUCCCAGACCAGCUCUAAGCUAAGCUACGCCCCAGACACCUUUUCCCUUUGGAGGACGCCUUUCCUGGGCGCGACGUGCACGUACCCGCACUGAGUUCUUGCCCACAAGGGCAGCUCUGAGCCCUGGAGAGCGAGGUGCUUCGAAGAAGGCAGGCACACUCGCAUGCUUUCCCAUGUAGAGCUUUGCGUUUCUUUUAGUACUUUGGAUUCCUAGUGAGGGGUACAAGGCGCCACUCCUCUCCUGACCCUAUUUCCACUACACCGCGUCUGAUCCCACAGUUACUCGCGGGGUAUCUACACUCACAGCUUUUGCGCUCAGGGAAAGUUGUUUGCGAGGAAAAUGAGUGGGGACCUUCUGAGAAGCUCCCAGGGCAAGUCCCUUUAAGGAAGGAAUUGAAGUAGAAAAGAAAGCACAAAUAUGGUAUCUCUGCACUCGACAUUCUCUCACUAGCAAGAGAAUGUGUGACUACUGUUCUUCCCUUCAUUGUUCCAUGAAUUAUCCUCUUUCCAUAGGGAUACACCAGUUGGUGAUUAAGGGCUUGUUAUGCAUUUAACAAAAUUCAAUAUGUCUGCUGGUGGCAUUGUUUUAUUGGGAAAUUGGGAAACUAGAGAGAGCCACAUAAUCUAGUAACUAGGUGAUCUUUGGAAAGUUAGCCUCAUGCUGCUGGUUGACUAGUAAGUGUAUAAGAUUUGAAAGAAAGGAAGCUGGGGGCCUAGUGAUAGAGUUUUCCGGAAAUGAAAGGUAAUACUCUGGCAUUCGUUGAGAGACUGAGGAAGAACUUUUAAAAACAAGCUAUUUCAUUCAGUUCUUUGCCAGUGGGACUUUAGCUUAUGAUUGCAUUCGCUUCAUAAAUGAAUAAUAAUUUUUUAAGUGGAAUAAUUGUAAAUGUUAGUGAUGAAAUCUAAAGGAAACCUCUACUCAUCUCAUGGUCAACAACAAGUAUUUGAUUUUCUUGGUUCAAGUGGUUUCAAUACUUAUCUCAUUGCUCUCUUUCCUUUGCAGAAUUAUCUUCUUAUAAAAGUUUCCAUUAGGUGUCAGUCUGACUGAGCUGGUUCCUAUUUAAAUUUGAAAAGAAAAAAAAAACAUUUUUUAAAAACUAAAUUGGGCCUUUAUAGAUAAGGGGGAAAGGCCCAAAACUUUAUUCAGUUGAAAUUGCUGUAGUUAAUUGUUUUAUUACAGUCAACUUGUUUUCCUCAGAAAAGAGAAUUUGAAAGUAUAUCACUACUAGCUGGUUGUCACUUUUGCCCUGUCAGUAUUCAUAGACAAGAUUAAAGAAGUGC